rnacentral:snoRNA from 1 species
AGGGGAGUCUGCUGAUGAUAAAACCCUUCUAUCUACAUAAUCCUUCCUGACUCCUGAAGGACUCGUUACUUCCCUUAUCUCUGAAGACUCCUCU